GACGAACGCUGGCGGCGUGCUUAACACAUGCAAGUCGAACGGAAAGGCCCUGCUUUUGUGGGGUGCUCGAGUGGCGAACGGGUGAGUAACACGUGAGUAACCUGCCCUUGACUUUGGGAUAACUUCAGGAAACUGGGGCUAAUACCGGAUAGGAGCUCCUGCUGCAUGGUGGGGGUUGGAAAGUUUCGGCGGUUGGGGAUGGACUCGCGGCUUAUCAGCUUGUUGGUGGGGUAGUGGCUUACCAAGGCCUUGACGGGUAGCCGGCCUGAGAGGGUGACCGGCCACAUUGGGACUGAGAUACGGCCCAGACUCCUACGGGAGGCAGCAGUGGGGAAUAUUGCACAAUGGGCGGAAGCCUGAUGCAGCAACGCCGCGUGCGGGAUGACGGCCUUCGGGUUGUAAACCGCUUUCGCCUGUGACGAAGCGUGAGUGACGGUAAUGGGUAAAGAAGCAGCGGCUAACUACGUG
rnacentral:rRNA from 1 species